GACCAAACAUCCAAAUUCUAUGUCCAGUGAAACUGUCCUUCAGGAAACAGAGAUCAAAAUAUUCUCAGGUGAAGAAAGCUAAGAAAGCAUGUCAUCCACAAACAGAGCCUACAGGAAUGGCCAAAGAGAGCUCUCUAAACAGAAAUGGAAUGAUAAGAUCAGAAAGGGAGCAAGAACACUUGAAAGAGUGAAAAUAUGAUGCCAACUGUGCUGCUCUUGUCUACUAGGAGACUGACAUCUUUAGCUUCCACAAGCUGGGGCAGAUUGGCUUGUGCAUCUUCAUAGGUCAAAAGCAGAAGGCAGGGGUAGAACUUCUGCCACCCAACGCCCCUUCGCUGGCCCCUGCACACCCUGACCUGCUGCCUGCCACACCUGCCACCCCUCAGAGC
rnacentral:lncRNA from 1 species